GUCUAUGGCCAUGCCACCCUAAACAUGCUCAAUCUCAUUUGAUCUUGAAAGCUAAGCAGGUCGGGCCUGGUUAGUACUUGGAUGGGAGACCACCUAGGAAUACCAGAUGCUGUAGGCG
rnacentral:rRNA from 1 species